rnacentral:rRNA from 1 species
GAGUUUGAUCAUGGCUCAGAUUGAACGCUGGCGGCAUGCCUUACACAUGCAAGUCGAACGGCAGCACGGGAGCUUGCUCCUGGUGGCGAGUGGCGAACGGGUGAGUAAUGCAUCGGAACGUAUCCUGGAGUGGGGGAUAACGUAGCGAAAGUUACGCUAAUACCGCAUAUUCUGUGAGCAGGAAAGCGGGGACCUUCGGGCCUCGCGCUCUUGGAGCGGCCGAUGUCGGAUUAGCUAGUUGGUGAGGUAAAGGCUCACCAAGGCGACGAUCCGUAGCAGGUCUGAGAGGAUGAUCUGCCACACUGGAACUGAGACACGGUCCAGACUCCUACGGGAGGCAGCAGUGGGGAAUUUUGGACAAUGGGGGCAACCCUGAUCCAGCCAUGCCGCGUGAGUGAAGAAGGCCUCGG